GGAAAACUGUUUCUGAGCAGAGAAGUGGAAACAGAUACUUGUAAAUUAUUUUCUCUGAUGGAUACAGAGAGGAUACAAGAAAUUGUGAAGUAGCUGUGCACACAGGCUCAGGAGCAAGCCCAGCACUGCUGCUCCUGUAAAGCUGCUUGGAGUAGCUCAAGACAACAUUCCUUACAUCUGGCUGAAGUGUACCCAGAAGACCCAAGUGUUUCUCCUGCUGGAGGUCUGUGUGCUGCGUCCUGG
rnacentral:lncRNA from 12 species